rnacentral:rRNA from 1 species
UACGUAGGGUGCAAGCGUUGUCCGGAAUUAUUGGGCGUAAAGAGCUCGUAGGCGGUUUGUCGCGUCCGCUGUGAAAAUCCAGGGCUUAACCCUGGACCUGCAGUGGGUACGGGCAGACUAGAGUGUGGUAGGGGAGACUGGAAUUCCUGGUGUAGCGGUGGAAUGCGCAGAUAUCAGGAGGAACACCGAUGGCGAAGGCAGAUCUCUGGGCCAUUACUGACGCUGAGGAGCGAAAGCGUGGGGAGCGAACAGG